rnacentral:lncRNA from 1 species
UUUUUUUCUCUUUUCUUCGCACCCACCUGCUGCCUGCCCACCAACUCUGGUUCCAUGGCUGGACUCGUCUAAAAUUCCCAAGCUGCCCUUAGAUCCAUUUUCUUUUUUCUCACUUUCUCCAUUUCAAUCCGAAUAAUUGGCUUUGCCUGCCCUAAAGCCUCAUUUUCCGAUCUGAUUUCAGUUGACGGCAACAUAAGACCCAAGAGGAAAGAGGAAGAGAAAUGGCGACGGCGAAAACGGGACGGUCCACGCGAGCGACGGCGGGAGCUGCAAAAGAAAACGGCACGAAAAUCGAGGAAGGCCUGAACGUUUUCAAAUCCGAUAAGUUCGACGCCGAUGGUUUUGUUCAGUCCAAGUGUUCUCUCAACGACAAGGUUUCUCGCCAUUUCUUUCUUCUUCUUCUUUUUCUUCUAAUCUAUUUAUUUACUACUUUUUAAGUUUUUUUUUUUAAUUCAAAAUUUGAAUGUUAAACUCUGAUUAAAUGAUUUAAUUCUGAAUAGGAAAUAAGGCAAUUAUGUUCUUAUCUAUUGGAUUUGAAGAGAGCUUCUGCUGAAGAAAUGCGUAAAAGUGUAUAUGCUAAUUAUUCCGCGUUUAUACGGUAACGUUUUGGCCUUCCUCUAGUCCACUAUAUUUGUUGUUGUUGCUAAUUAAUUAGUUAAUUGUUGUUUAAUCAUGAUUAUGGAAACUUGAAAAAGGAAAAUAAUAAAUUUAUUCGAUCAUUUGCAUUUCCCCUAUCUAGUAGUUUUUCCAAUGCUAAAUACUAACCUCAGCCAUUAGCAUUUGGUCAUAGUGAUUGCCUGUUUAGGGUAUACGAUCUCUGUUGUAAUGUUCAUAAUUAGUGGUUCAUAUUGACCCAAUAUCAUCUGAUUCUUGCUUAUUGCAUUUCAAUUAAGGACUCAUCUCGCUACAUCUUGUGAAAAAAAAGAAAAAUGUCCUUCCCAACAAAGACGAAAUCAGAAAUUCUAUGUGCUUCACAUGAAGCAAAAAACUGUUGGUUGAUAAACCAGGCGGGCGUUAUCUUGUUUUGCUACUUGCUUUUCUUGUGUGUGUAUUACUUACUCCAAAUUUUCUACAAAGUAGAAGCAAAGAGUGCAAGGCAUAAUUUUAUUUGAUUGAAAGUGAACAAAUGGCUCAAAUGUAAUGUUGUUCAAACAUAAUUUUUCUUAUGCAAAUAAAGGAUCAUGCAUUUAUGUUAUCUAUGAAAGUUAAAUUUUUGUUUUAAUUCUUCAAACAUAUUGGUUGCUUUUGAAUCCAAAUGCACUUAUUGCUUUGUUAGUUGAAGCAAUAAAGCUAGUAGCAAAAGUAACAACCAGACAGAACUUUAAUUCUUAAGCUUUAGAGUUUGGGCCAAAGACUGGCUGAGCAAAGUAAUAGUAAAACCUUUGCAGAAGUACACCCUGGAUUGAGUGCAGAGGAGUGAAGUCCUUUGCAUAUAUGAUAAAGUCACUCCAUUAUUGCAGCUUCAGCUGGUUUUCCAUGCAUUUUAAUUGUGAGAAAAAGCAUGGAAAGUAUUAUUGAGUUAUCUGGUGUGAGUAUCCUGGUCUGGACUGCAUAUGCGCCUGAUGUGUUGUAUGCUUGCUAGGCUGGAUCAAAAAUAUACAAAAAUGUAAAUUUACUAGAAAACUGGAAAUUGGACACAGAAAGGUUGUUUUCUAGCACCCUACCAUUUGUUUGGAAAUCCUACUUAAUGCUAUGGUAUUUGACAGAAUUCCAUAGAUCUAAGAACCACACAUCAAAGGACAGAUAGAAGUGUAAUUCCACAAGAGGUAUGUGCUCUAGAAGUGAGCACAUGGAUUUCAGUUUCUUGAGACUACAGAGAUAUUAUUUGCACAUGGAUUUCAUUUUUCUAGGGAUUGCUGGAGGUGCUUAUGUGGUAAUGGCCUAAUACUAACUUUAAACACAAUGUGUAGGAACUAUGUUUUAAAUGAAUUCAUGUAGUCUGCGGCCUUUUUUUUUUUUUAAAAAAAAAGAAAUUAUAUGCUAAAUCAAGUAUGAAGCUUUGUCAAUUCUGUUGGGUUUGUCUGUAUGAAGAAGAAAAUUUUCCACACUUUUUUCUUCUCAUUAUUUGCUAUAUUAUGUUGUUUUCUGUUGGUUAAAUGAGAAUCAUUGUUUUGUCAGCAGUGCAUUUGUUUUUAUUCUCUCUCUCUCUCUCUUUCUUACUGAAAAUUGUUCUGUUAGCUGAAAUUCGGUGCCCGUUGUGGACACUUCAUUUUAUACUCUUUAUUUUUGUUCAAAGGGAUGCAGUUUAUAGAUGUAGAGGUUGCCGUUGAUUUUAUUGAGAUUACUAGGAAAAGGUAUUGAAAACAGUGUUUGAAUGUUUGUUGCAUCUAGCAACUAAUUAGUUUUUUUUUUUUUUUCUUUCUGAAGAAUUUAUGUGGAUCUUUACGUGUUCUCAGUAUUAAGAGACCAGUAAUUUGGUUACAUUCAUAGAAGUUGUAGAGGUGUGAAACUUCAGGAUCCACGUGGGGUUGGGGAGUUGUACCUUGGCCUGCAAUGCCCCUACCUUAAAGGGUGGCGCCUGUCCUUGAACUUAAAGGCCUAAGCGUAGAGGUGUUGAAAGUAAAACUUCUUUGUUGUUGCCCCCAGAAGGGAAGGGGGAUGGGUUGUUGAUAAAUUUACUUGUUAUUGAUGAUAUUAAUCUUUAGAAGCUGCUGUCAUUGUUUAAAAAUUAGAUGGAUUCUGGAUUUUAAGACAUGUGGGCUUCGUUCUUGCAGCACGUCUAAAGAGAUAUCUGAUUUAGAAGGAGAGCUUUCGUCUAUAAGAAAUCUGCUUUCGACGCAGGCAACGUUAAUUCAUGGUUUGGCUGAGGGAGUUCAUAUAGAUUCAUUGUCCCCCAAAGCUUCUGAAGGCCCUACUGCUAAUGGCUUGUUGGAUAUUGAAGAUAGUGAACCUUCAGAUCUGGAGAAAUGGUCAGCCGAAUUCCCUGAUCUCCUGGAUGUUUUGUUAGCUGAGAAGAGAGUAGAUGAAGCUCUGGCAGCGCUUGAUGAAGGAGAACGUGCAGUUGCUGAAGCAAAGGAAACAAAAUCAUUGAGUUCUUUGGCACUUACAUCUCUAGAGACUACUAUUAUAGAGCGCAAGCAAAAGUUGGCUGACCAACUUGCUGAAGCUGCUUGUCAACCUUCUACACGCGGUGCUGAACUUCGUGCAUCAAUAUUGGCUCUUAAAAAGCUAGGUGAUGGACCACGUGCUCAUACUUUGCUCCUUAAUGCACACUUCCAAAGAUAUCAAUAUAACAUGCUUAGCCUUCGCCCAUCAAGCACCUCAUACGGAGGAGCAUAUACUGCUGCCCUUUCACAGUUGGUGUUCUCUGCUAUUGCUCAAGCUGCUAGUGAUUCCUUGGCUAUUUUUGGCAAGGAACCAGCUUAUACUUCGGAGCUUGUAAUGUGGGCAACGAAGCAAACGGAGGCUUUUGCCCAUCUUGUUAAAAGACAUGCAUUGGCUUCUUCAGCAGCUGCUGGUGGUCUAAGGGCAGCUGCAGAGUGUGUUCAGAUAGCUUUAGGUCAUUGCUCAUUGUUGGAAGCUCGUGGUUUGGCACUUUGUCCUGUGCUCUUGAAACUCUUUAGGCCUAGCGUUGAGCAAGCGCUUGAUGCUAAUCUGAAAAGAAUUGAAGAAAGCACUGCAGCUCUGGCUGCUGCUGAUGAUUGGGUGCUAACAUAUCCCCUAGGUGGUACUCGUCAAUCUGGCUGGCCCUCUAGUGCAUCCGUUGGUAAUACAACAGCAUUUCAGCAUAAACUAACAAGUAGUGCUCAUCGAUUCAAUUCAAUGGUCCAGGUGAACAGUUUAAUUUAAUAUAAAUGUAUCUUGUCUUUGUUAUGUGUGUAUACUUGCACAUGCAUAUCUGCCUGACCUGUUUGUGCUUUUCUCUUUUUUUUUUUUUGUUGAAUUUGAUCUUGUUAUCUACCUUCACUUUUUGAUAAAUCAUGGAUGAAGGGAAUAACUUUUCUUAAAGUGGUUCUUUAGCCUGAUAAUCGGAUUCCAAAUUGCAAGGCGAAUCUUGUGGUUAAGAUACUAGUAAUUUGAUACCUAAUUUAUCAUACUUUUCUUUGGUUCUGCAGGUUUUGAAACUACUUUUGUUUAAAUAUUCAGGGUGCCUUUUUUAGUUGGUCCCACUUAGUCUUUUCACUCAUAAAUCUUUUGGCAUUUCAUCUAUUCAAAAUCACUCUUCCAAAUUUGUGUUCUCCAAUGGUGUGGGGAUCCUUUGGGCUUAGGGAGCUCACUAGUGUUGAUGGGGCUUUAUGGAAUGGUUUUGGUUGGAUUAAAUAGGUUGAAAUAUGGAAAAGAGUAGGAUCAGUGGGUUUUAGCCAUAGAAAUUCUAGUUGUUCGUCUGUGAAGGAAAAUUAGAGGUGGACAGCAUUUGUUUGUAAGAUCAUUGGUGGACAUUGGACAUAGCCAUGUAGGAGAUUGUGGAUGGCAUUUGUUUGUAGAUUGAUGUUUUAUGCAUUUCUCUUGGUUCAUUUUGUUGUGUAAUGGCUUUAUAUCCUUUGACUCAUUGUGAUGUCUAUUCUGCUUGCACUUAUAGGAGUUCUUUGAGGAUGUGGGACCACUAUUAAGCAUGCAGUUGGGAGGGCAAACACUGGAAGGGUUGUUUCAGGUGUUUAACUCAUAUGUAAACAUGCUCAUAAAAGCAUUACCUGGUUCAAUGGAUGAAGAUGCAAACUUUGAAGGUACCGGAAAUAAAAUUGUGCGAAUGGCUGAGACUGAGGCCCAACAAAUUGCUUUGCUAGCAAAUGCAUCAUUAUUGGCAGACGAACUUCUCCCACGUGCAGCCAUGAAGCUUUCCCCAAAUCAGGCUAGUUACAAGGAUGACCACCGUAGAAGAACUUCAGAUAGGCAAAACCGUCAUCCUGAGCAACGAGAAUGGAAGAGGCGCCUUAUGAGUUCAGUUGAGAGACUAAAGAAUACAUUUUGUCAACAACAUGCCCUAGAUCUCAUUUUCACGGAAGAGGGUGAUAGCCAUCUUACUGCAGAAAUGUACAUUAAUAUGUAUGGUACUGCAGAUGAGGUGGAGUGGUUUCCAUCUCUAAUAUUUCAGGUGAUUUUAUCGUUCUUUUAUAUAUAUGUCAUUACACCUGGUUCUCUUGGUAGUUGGAAUAUUGUUUCCUUUAAUCGUUGUUUGUGGCUCAAACCACCUAGUUUGAGCAGGUGUGUUUUACUUUAACCAUUGUCUUCGCUUUUAACAUCUCAUAGUAUCUUGUUUGUAAGGUUAUAAUUCUUAUUUCACACUUCAGAUUUAGAUUUCUUCCUCGAUUAAUAGUUGAUUUGUCUUUAGUACUUGAUAUAGGCAUGAGUUCGUAUUUUUGUUUUUGUUUUUGUUUUAUGUUUUUAAUAUGUAAGUUGAAAGUUUUCAUGCUGGGCAAAACCGUCUUCUGCUGUAAUUUUGUUUUUAUAAGGGCCUUGGUAAUUUAAUCUAGUCUAGGGUCUCUUGGAGUUUCUAAAAGUUCCAUAUGUGUUUCCUUUAAGUUAACGUGUAUGUGUUUAUUAGCCAGUUUCUUUCGCAAUUUUUGAUCCUAGUGAAUGAGGGAGAAGUCUUGGGAGCUCCUUUUAAAAAUAACCAUACAAUCUUCAUGUUUUUUACUUGGUUUUGGGUUAACAAAAUUAUGAGGUAAUUAUUAAUGCAUGGAUGCUUGGAGUCUCAUGCAUGCUCAUUCUACCUGUUUAUAUAUUAUUCUUUGCUUUCUAUUUACAGCAUAGGUUUUUGGUGUUUAAUGGGCUUUCACUCAAUUUUUUUAUGUGAUAUUUUACUUUAAUUUUCUCUAUGCUAUGUGGUUUGAGAAUUCUGACCACGUUGUCAUGAUAUGUUUUUACAAUUCAGGAACUCUUUGCAAAACUAAACAGGAUGGCUAGCCUGGCAGCAGAUGUGUUUGUAGGAAGGGAAAGAUUUGCUACAUCGCUAUUGAUGCGACUUACAGAAACUGUCAUCAUAUGGCUGUCAGAAGAUCAAAGCUUUUGGGAUGAUAUUGAGGAUGGACCAAGGCCUUUAGGUCCACUUGGUUUACAACAGGCAUGUAAACUUGUUAUCAUUCCUUUUGUGCUUUUGCAUUUGUAUUGGAUUGUUAAAAUUGAGCUAUUUCUUGUCUAUUUGCAGUUUUAUCUGGAUAUAAAAUUUGUCAUAUGCUUUGCUUCCCAAGGCCGGUACCUAUCAAGGAAUUUGCAUAGAGUUGUCAAUGAAAUAAUAGCUAAAGCCAUGGCUGCAUUUUCUGCUACAGGGAUGGAUCCAUAUAGGUAUGUUAUGAUAGUUCUUUUAUUAUUAUUAUUAAAUUUAUGAGAUGUUUCUCAUAACUGCGGUUCUUGUUGAAUACCGUGUAUUUAACAUUGUUGGAUUUAACAGGAAGAUGGGAAGCCCAUACUGAAAAAUUGUUAGAUGCAUGUACAAGUAUAGGAAAUUCUCAUGAAUUGCUGUAUACUUAAUAGCUUGACGCCCUUCCCCCCAAAUUUUUUUUCUCUUCCUAAAGAAGUUAGUUGGGUUUUCAGUUAGUAAAUUUCGGCAAAUAUAUUGUAUUGGCAUUGAAGCAUUUGGUUUUCGUUUUUUUCCUGUCAGCGUGCUGCCUGAUGAUGACUGGUUCAAUGACAUUUGUCAAGAUGCAAUAGAAAGAUUAAGCGGAAAGCCAAAAGCCGACCGGGAUCUAAAUAGCCCUACUGCCUCCGUUUCAGCACAAUCAAUGUCAUCCGUCAGAUCGCAUGGGAGUUCCUAGGCAUAUGUUUCCACCUUUGUAUAUUUGACAGCUAACAGAAUUGGUAAAUGGAUCUCUCCAGGCAGAUCCCUGUAUUCAUAGUAAGGCAUUUAAAUUUUUUUUUCACAUUUAAUUCUUCUUUAAACCUUGGUUAUUCUUUUCCUAGGUUCGAUGUAUGCAUGAAUCAUGGUCAUAAAGUUAGGAUUCAGCGAAUCCAACGGUCCUCCCCCUUCCCUUCCCUUCUUUUUUGCAGUUACCUUACAUUUUGGUUUGAGUGAGUCGUGAUUAUGUAAAUGUUGAUUGCUUGAUUUGUUUUUUAGUCUCCGGGAACUAAUCAUGUAUAAUUCUUUGAUAAUAUGGUUUAAAUCGUUUGUCUAUUCAUUUAAUUAUGUAUUCAAAAUAAAAUCUCGAGUCGUUCAUUUAUUAUUAUUAUUAUUGUUUGAGUACAAGAUAUCUCUAUCUGAAGUCUUUACUGCUUAGUGCUUACUCUUAUCGCAUGAGUUAAGCCGGUUAAAAUAUUUUUUUAAAAUUUAUAUUUAAUGUAUUGUUAGUAUAUAAUAUUUGUAUAUUAUUGUUUAAUUAGAGUAUAGGAUUAUUUAUAUUUAUUAUUUAAUAUUUUUAAUUUUUAAAUUUAUUUUAUUAAUAAGAUGAUAACAUUUGAUUCGAUGAUAAUAUACUAUGUAUUAAAUAUAUAUCUUAUUUGAUUUGGUUUUGAAAAUGCAAACAUGUACUUGAUACUUACAUGGGCCCAAACCCAUGCAAUUUCACCUUUUCUUUUCUGAUAAACGAGGACAUAAGAAGAUCUGUAAUAGACUUCUGAGGUUGGUCUUUAACAAUGGCCAUCACUUUUAUAAAGAAAAAAGUUUAAAUGGGCGGUGGCUAGCCCUUCAAAUUUAAAGGUGGCUACACUCAAGAAACCUAAGCUAAUGUUUGCUUCUCUCAGUGAUAUUAGAGUUUAACAGUUGCCUCACUACACCUCUCAUUGUAGGUCUUUUACUUGGUUAAACUCUAUGGUAAAUAUUUUGAAUUUAUUAUGGUUCUCUCGUUAAGGUUAUUCGUCUAAUAUUAUUUCAAUUUUUAUUAAACUCUCUGACAAGAUAUCCAAUUUCAUAAUUAUAUAUAUAUAUAUAUAUAGUUUGAUUCAAUUUUUUUCUUUUCAUUAUCUAUCCUAUUCUCUUUUCAUAACUCUUAUAAAUUUAUUACUAUAUAUAUUAUGCAACUAGAUAUUUAAAUUUUAUGUUUCAAACAUAUUAAUUAUUUUGAAUUUUCCAUCAUCGAUAAUUCUACUUAUUUAUCUAUUUAUUCAUUAUUACGAGUAUUACCAUUUUCACUAUUUCAUUUUUAUUUUUGGACAACUUAAAUGAGUAUUUGUUAUCUAUUCUUUUGUAUAUCAUUAUUUUUUUACAUAUUUAUUAUAUUUGUAUUUAUAUUUUGAUUAAUUUAUUGUAUAAUAAUUUUUAUUUAUUUUAAUUAAAUUAAAUAUCUCGAAAUCUUAAAAUUGAGGCCCUCCUAUCGUACUAGUAGGGCCUUAAUUCGAAUUCCAAGCCUAAAAAAAAAUUCAUCCGAAAUUAUGACUCUUCGCAUUUCGGGAGAAUGUCUCAUCAUCAGUAUAAGUUUGUAUUAUCUCCAUUAGCACUAUCAUAUGUGUAGGAACACUAAUUAUAAGCCCUACAUGGUACUUCCCUUUUUAUUAUAUUCUCUACCAUUUCCCUUUUUGUGCUAAAUAUUUACCUUUUAGAUUUUAAUUCAUUAUCAUCAUUAUUUUAUAACCAAAUAUUUAUUUACUUUAUAUAUCUAUAUUUUAUCUACCUAAAUACAUUUUCCUUUGAACUAAAUAUUUUUCUGCUCCUAUAUUCAUUAUAACUAUAUGUAUUUAGUUACCUACCUUAAAAAAAUUAAUUUUUUUAUACAUGCCCUUUCUACAUCUUUAUGUCUGCUUCAAUCUAUUUUUAUACCUAAAUAUAUUUUAUCUUUUUUUUUAUUUUUUUGUUUUAACAAUUUCCUUUCCCAUACCACUGAUUUUAUACUUGUAAAAAGUACCAAAUAUCUUUUCGCAUCCAUUUUUUUUUAAAAAGCUGUAAAUUUAUUUUCUUAAAAAUAAAUAAUAAAUAAAACAAAAUUAAAAAAAUCAUUUAAAACAGACAUCAAAGAUUCAAACCCAAUAACUUCAGAACCCAGAACAUACCAAGGUUCGGGCUUAGACUAGCCGAAAAAACUGGACCUUGCCCACAACAGCUCCAGAAGCCCACUUCUUCUCCGGUCAAAGUUCACCGUUCAGGACAGAGGGAUGGAGGCUUGUUCUUCCUAAAAUGGCACCGUUUUGGGUGCUAUCCUCACUGCUGGUGGACUAUUGACAAAACAGUGCCGUUUCAGCACUUUAACCUUUCUAAAACCAACCUAUAAAAUUUUUUUUUUGGUUAUCAUUUUCUUUCCUACCAUUCUCUCUCUAGCCGUCACUCACUCGCUUUCUCUCUAAAAAAUCACGCUUUUCUCCCCAAAUCCUUCUACUCCUCCUACCAGCGGCUUGAAACCUUCUCUCUCUAAAAUUCUGUCCCUUUUCCUCCCCCUCUCAAUCGGUGACUCAAACUUUUCCUAAAACCCCAAAAAAUCAAAGAAAAGGAAAAGCUUCGAUCUAACUACUGCCCUUCCCCACUUCUGUUGAUUUUUUGAUUUCUUUUUUUGGUUUUUCUUUUGUGGCUAGGGUAAAAUGGUUGCUAGAAAGCUUAGGGUUUUUUUUAUUUUUUGGUUCUGCAGUUCCUAUAUAUAUUUUUUCUUCUUUUUUGGUUCGGAUUUGCCCCUUCGAUUUUCUUCUCGAAGAGGGCAGCUCCCUUUGAGCGCUGGGGAUGCCACCUGUGCUCCCCCAGCCUCGUGAAGGAUCUGCCAGACGUGACUUUUCCGCAUCUGGCAGGGUAGUUAGUUCUGAGCAGGGUGCAAAACGCACUCUGCUAAACCAUUUUCAUCAUCUUGCUUUUUUUUUUUUCAUUUUUAGUGUUAUUUUUUGGUUUUUUGUUCUUUUGAAUCUGGUGAAGCUUACUUAGUUUUAAUCCCGAUUUAUUAAAUUUGCUUGUAUUUGUUUAAUUUGAUCUGAAUUUGUGAUCUUAAUGUUCUUUGGAUAUGUUUUUGGGCCUCAAAUUAAAGGUCCAAACCCAAUUCUCAUUGGGUUAUGAACCAAGACACCAACAGAAUAAAAUAACCCAAAAAGCAUAUAAAAUAAAAUAAAAAAAAGAAAAAAAGAAAUGGGAAUAAUAAAAACAUGUCAACAACUGUUCUUUUUUGUACAUUUUUGAAAUAAACAACAGUGUAAAAACGUAAACACUAUAUUUGAUCUAAUUUAUUAAUUUUCUUUAUUCAAAGUUUUACGCAAUUGAAAAAAAAAAAAAUUUUAAAAAAGAUAAACCACUCUUCAUCUGACACCUUAAUACUUUCAAGUUAAGUUUCCACUAAGGAAGAAAGCAACGAAAGGAGAAGGAAAAUAGUUGUUUGUUUAUUAAUCUUUCAUACAAUGCUUACCAAGUCAAUCUAAAUCUUUUUCCCUUCAUUUUUGUAUCUUAAUUAUUCUCAAAACAAGAAGAUUAAUUGGACAUACUUUUUCUAGGAGGAAUAAUUUUAUAAUCAGUUGGAAGUUUCCUUUACAAAUUAAAUAGAGAAUGUAGGAUUUGUUGUCCACGCGAAGAAAUAUUGUUUAAUCAAAUAAUUAUAUAUUAUUAGUAUUAUUAUAUAGUAUAAAAGUUACGUUUAAUUAUUUAUAUAACGUAAAUAAUUAAUUAAAGAAUGUAAAGCGGUGAAAUUUUUGACAUGUAGGGGUAGGAAGCUGAUUACCUUGUAUAAAAAAUUAAAUACACGUAACUUUUACAAUAUAUAUUUUAUAACAAGUGAGUUGAAAACUUAUGUUUAUCUCUAUAUACGUUUAUCUUUGACAAUUUGAUUAAAAAAAUAUUCCUCCGGUCCAAGGCAUCGAAUAACAACACUCCCUACACUCACCUAUAAUUUGACUUCAACACAAAAUAAUCCAAAUUAGAUGCUUAAUUAAAAAUCAAAUAUUUUACCAUAGCUAAAAUUCAAAGCCUUUACGUAAUUCUUACGCCAUUUCAAUAAAAAAAUAAUUCCUCCGAGUGGAAAACUCACUCUGAUCAUGACUAGUACCAUUAAAUAUUUUAGGGUUGCAUUCAACGAUUGAGAACUGCCAUGAAUUAGUAGGCGCCCGUAUUUUUUUAAAAUGAAAAAGACUUUAAUUCAGUAGAAUCCAACACCAAUAGGAGUUGGUAUAUAUGAUUCGAUAUACGGUACCUAGUUUGACUUGGUAUAUGCACUGCACAAAUUGGCAUACUAUAUUUUAAUCAUUUACAUGAGGUAAGAAAUGUAAGAUGGACGAAAAAUUUUCCCUUUAAAAACCGCUACUGUCCCAGCAAAACUCACCAAAACAAAAAGCAAAAAAAAAAAAAAAGAAAUGUCUCCUGCCAGUAAUCUUUCCUUGAGGUUGGCAUCGCAUCUUUCCCUUGUUUUCAAUGCUUAGAUAACGAAUGUUUGUAUUCAAAUAGCUUUUUUUACUGAUUUGAUCUUUUAAUGAAUGUUUCUUGAACCAAAAUAUUGCAUUUUUCGCCUUGGUGCAGCAACAGUAGUACGGCCAGCAAUCAUAAGCAUGCCAUUUUGAGCUUCCUAAUAGCUGCUUUUCUCGCGUUAUUGCCAGUGAAAUUGCAUUCGUUGAAUUCCCCGGGAGCUGGAUUUGACACGCACCGUGCGAUCCUCUCGGUCUUUCUCACCACUACGCUUGCGUACGCCGUCGUUUUAGCAAUCGAAAUCAACCUUGGAACCAACAACAGCCCAUAUCACCUUAUCGUGAGUAAAAUCAGUCUCUUGCUGGGCAGUGUCGGAACGGUCUGUCUUCUUUUAAUACUGGUGCGUGGUCUUGGGUAUGUCACUCUUCUAAUUUGGGCCCUCUUCCUUGUCAAGCUCAUAUAUGAAGCAUGCCAAAGCCUACAUCAGCUUUAUAGGGCAAUUUCAUUUGCCUCCGAUUUAUUCAAUGGACUGCUUGGUCGCAGUCGAGGUGGCUAUCAGAACGAAAGAAGAAUUAUGCUACCUGUUUAAAGCAAGGGGUGUUGAUAGAUACUUAAUUAAGUUUUUAGUUAAUAAAUAUGACAUAUGGUAUGUCAUGCUAAUUAAUUUGUUAAUUUAUCUUUUUUCCUGUAAUAAAAUUUUUUGUGAUUAGUAGCUAUUGAACUUUGCAAUAUAAGGAUGGCCAAGGUUGUCGAUUGCCAGCUGGGUGUCUCAAGUAAAACCUAUCAAACCAAAAGGAAACGCAAAAUGCCCCUCCCUCGUUCCAAAUCUCUUUUUUCUUAUUAUUGAAAGGAAAUUUUACUCAAUAAAAUUAAUAAACAACAUAGAUAACAACAAUACUCAUUCAAAUAAGUUCGACAAAAAAACAAGAUAAUCUAUCCUUUACUAAUCUAAAACACUUCAUUUGGUUGAAUGAUUGUGGUUAUUAGUGAUUUUCAUAUCACUACCCAGGGUAUAAUUUUGAUAAUUUUGAACUCCCACACAGCAAACACAAAUUCAAUUUUGAAUUUGUUCUUGAUCUUGAGAGAUAGUAUUAGCCUUAAUUAGGGAAUCGAUUUGUGUUUAAUGUGUGGGAGUUCCUUUCCAAAAGUGAAAAUCGAAUUUGUGUCUCUCAUGUUGAAUUUUCAUUUGCUAUGUGUUCGAGUUUAUCUCUCAAUGAAAGGUUGUGUAUUUGCUUUUAAAAUAUCUCGUCUCACUCAUGUGAACAAAUUUUAAUUAACUGUUCAACCCGGAAAAACUGGAAAUGCUGGAUUAGUGAUGAAUAAUAGCAUUUGGGAAUUUUGUUCCAAAGCUCUAUUUCACAAGCUGUCGUAGUUCUGUCGGAUGUGGAAUCUUGCCUCCAUUGUUUGCCUUUCCAUAAGCUAUGUGUGGUUUUUGAAUUGGGUGUUACUUUAUUGAGAAGAAUGGCUAUUGCUCUUUGCAUAACUGUCCCAUUUGCAGUGGAAGCAUGGUGAUUAACUUACGCAUUUGGUUGUUCGGCAUAUAGUUUUAAAGUCUUCAAUAGUUCAUUUGUUUGUCUGCUUCUAUUUGUGUGGUUGGUGAUGCUUUUUAAUACCAGAACAAGGCUGGAAAUCCAAGCUGAUGCAGCAUGUGUGGAUCUGGCCCAUAGUUGAAUAGCUGUAAUCUUUGUACUCAAGCUAUCACUUUGGUUCCAUAGUUUCGACAUGUUUUUCUCCAUUUCAAUCCCAAUAAUUGCCUUUGCCUGCCCUAAAGCCUCAUUUUCCGAUCUGAUUUCAGUUGACGGCAACAUAAGACCCAAGAGGAAAGAGG